rnacentral:rRNA from 1 species
UGGGGAAUCUUGGACAAUGGGCGCAAGCCUGAUCCAGCCAUGCCGCGUGUGUGAAGAAGGUCUUCGGAUUGUAAAGCACCUUAAGUUGGGAGGAAGGGCAGUAACCUAAUACGUUGCUGUCUUGACGUUACCGACAGAAUAAGCACCGGCUAACUCUGUGCCAGCAGCCGCGGUAAUACAGAGGGUGCAAGCGUUAAUCGGAAUUACUGGGCGUAAAGCGCGCGUAGGUGGUUAGUUAAGUUGGAUGUGAAAUCCCCGGGCUCAACCUGGGAACUGCAUUCAAAACUGACUGACUAGAGUAUGGUAGAGGGUGGUGGAAUUUCCUGUGUAGCGGUGAAAUGCGUAGAUAUAGGAAGGAACACCAGUGGCGAAGGCGACCACCUGGACUGAUACUGACACUGAGGUGCGAAAGCGUGGGGAGCAAACAGGAUUAGAUACCCCAGUAGUCCCUGAGCGGGCUGGCAAGGCG